rnacentral:rRNA from 1 species
ACAGGCCUAACACAUGCAAGUCGAACGAACUCUUCGGAGUUAGUGGCGGACGGGUGAGUAACACGUGGGAACGUGCCUUUAGGUUCGGAAUAACUCAGGGAAACUUGUGCUAAUACCGAAUGUGCCCUUCGGGGGAAAGAUUUAUCGCCUUUAGAGCGGCCCGCGUCUGAUUAGCUAGUUGGUGAGGUAAAGGCUCACCAAGGCGACGAUCAGUAGCUGGUCUGAGAGGAUGAUCAGCCACAUUGGGACUGAGACACGGCCCAAACUCCUACGGGAGGCAGCAGUGGGGAAUCUUGCGCAAUGGGCGAAAGCCUGACGCAGCCAUGCCGCGUGAAUGAUGAAGGUCUUAGGAUUGUAAAAUUCUUUCACCGGGGACGAUAAUGACGGUACCCGGAGAAGAAGCCCCGGCUAACUUCGUGCCAGCAGCCGCGGUAAUACGAAGGGGGCUAGCGUUGCUCGGAAUUACUGGGCGUAAAGGGAGCGUAGGCGGACAUUUAAGUCAGGGGUGAAAUCCCGGGGCUCAACCUCGGAAUUGCCUUUGAUACUGGGUGUCUUGAGUAUGAGAGAGGUGUGUGGAACUCCGAGUGUAGAGGCGAAAUUCGUAGAUAUUCGGAAGAACACCAGUGGCGAAGGCGACACACUGGCUCAUUACUGACGCU